rnacentral:pre_miRNA from 1 species
UGUUAACAAUUUCAUCCAUUUGUACCAGUAAAAACUGGCGUGGUAAAUAGAAUAACUAGACAAUAACACUGGUGUGCCACAUUUACCACAUGCUGAUGUCUAGGACCAAUUUUUAAUAGUAGAAAUGGAUUGAAUUUUUAGAA